CACGUAGGGGGCGAGCGUUGUUCGGAAUUACUGGGCGUAAAGGGCAUGUAGGCGGUCUUGUAAGCUUGGCGUGAAAGACCAUGGCUCAACCAUGGGAUUGCGUUGAGAACUGCGAGGCUUGAGUGACGGAGAGGGAGCUAGAAUUCCUGGUGUAGGGGUGGAAUCUGUAGAGAUCAGGAAGAAUACCAAUGGCGAAGGCAAGCUCCUGGCCGAUGACUGACGCUGAGGUGCGAAAGUGUGGGGAUCAAAC
rnacentral:rRNA from 1 species